AACAGCUAGCUCAUACUCAUAAAUUCAAAACAACACCAUAAAUAACCCCAAACGCACGAUUAGUAACAUAAUUAAACCAUUCUUCCUCCUUAGUACGGGCGACGGAAAAGGGACUAGAAGCUAUAGAUAAAGUACCGCAAGGGAACGCUGAAAGAGAAAUGA
rnacentral:rRNA from 1 species